rnacentral:rRNA from 1 species
GAUGAACGCUGGCGGCGUGCCUAAUACAUGCAAGUCGAGCGAACGGAUAAGGAGCUUGCUCCUUUGAAGUUAGCGGCGGACGGGUGAGUAACACGUGGGUAACCUACCUAUAAGACUGGAAUAACUUCGGGAAACCGGAGCUAAUGCCGGAUAACAUUUGGAACUGCAUGGUUCUAAAGUAAAAGAUGGUUUUGCUAUCACUUAUAGAUGGACCCGCGCCGUAUUAGCUAGUUGGUAAGGUAACGGCUUACCAAGGCAACGAUACGUAGCCGACCUGAGAGGGUGAUCGACCACACUGGAACUGCGACACGGUCCAGACUCCUACGGGAGGCAGCAGUAGGGAAUCUUCCGCAAUGGACGAAAGUCUGACGGAGCAACGCCGCGUGAGUGAUGAAGGUUUUCGGAUCGUAAAACUCUGUUAUUAGGGAAGAACAAAUGUGUAAGUAACUGUGCACAUCUUGACGGUACCUAAACAGAAAGCCACGGCUAACUACGUGCCAGCAGCCGCCGUAA